CCAAAGAUGGCAAAAGAAAAGAGAGACGGCAAAGGGCCACCGUCCGUUUUCUUUUUUCAAAGACGACGCACCAAAAGAAAAUGGAUUGCUCGCGCCGAAAAAGGCGGCGCGGGACAAUUUUGUGGGAUUGGCAAAGUUGCGGUCGUGCUUUCGUAAAGGGUCGACCGCAGUUAUGAUGACGCACUUGCUCGUCGCUCCCGACGUGCUGCCUCGAUCGGAUUUUAUUGUACUGAGGAAAAAACCGUGAUGAUGCGGAUCGUGUCGCAACGGAGAGCCUGCACGCACUCAGAGCGCGGCCCACCGCGAAACAAGACCAAAGCAAACGGCCAUGCCUGAGACAGCGGCGACUGCUGCCGACCACGCGGCCAGACACAGACGCCGAAAGAGCGACGGCAGGUCAUUGUGCAUGGCGACGUGCGCGCGCAUCAACGACGCAGGGUCGUAAAAGCAUGUGUGGCGCGUGCCCACGGGCGAGGCUUCUAAAAAGCCCAGUGCGCCCUCGGCGUCCAUGUAUGAAUCGCGCUCAGUGAAAAAGGGCAUGGCCCAUGCGUCGAGAUCGCCAAUGAUGUCAUUGCGACAGUCCGUUUGUGUAUCCGCGGCGCCGGCUCGGCGACGCUCGUGGCCCUGGCAAUUGUCGCAGACGGUGCCGUGUUCGUCGGCGCCCAAGCGUACACAGAGGCGUGGAAUGACGAGGUCGCUGUCUGGCACCGCCACCGGCGCCCCAUGGGCGAGCACGAGACAAGAGGCCGGACACGCGCGCGCGACAAGAUUAUAGUCGGGCGCGAGGUCCCACGCGUACCACGGCACAAACACGAGCAGCGCGGCGAGCAGUGCGGGCGCCACGGUCCAGCACGGCCACCACCGCACGACGGCAAGGCGGCGCCUGCGCAUAAGGCGUUCCCUAUCGACCAUAUUGGCCACUGUCGCGCCGCCGAGCACCUCGUCCAUGGCUUGUCCUGUUCUGUGUCCGUCUCUCGCUUCCUUUUUUCGAG
rnacentral:lncRNA from 1 species